GGCGGACGGGUGAUUAACACGUUGGUACCUACCCCUAAGUGGGGAAUAACUGCCCGAAAGGGUGGCUAAUACCGCAUAAUCCCGCAAGGGUAAAGCAGUAAUGCGCUUAGGGAGGGGCCUGCGUCUGAUUAGCUAGUUGGUGAGGUAAUUGCUCACCAAGGCGACGAUCAGUAGCUGGAUCGAGAGGUUGACCAGCCACACUGGGACUGAGAUACGGCCCAGACUCCUACGGGAGGCAGCAGUAAGGAAUCUUCCACAAUGGACGAAAGUCUGAUGGAGCAACACCGCGUGCAGGAUGACGGCCUUCGGGUUGUAAACUGCUUUUAUAUAGGAAGAUUAUGACGGUACUAUAUGAAUAAGGACCGGCUAACUACGUGCCAGCAGCCGCGG
rnacentral:rRNA from 1 species